ensembl:snRNA U6 U6 spliceosomal RNA
GUGCUCGCUUUGGCACAUAUACUAACAUUGGAACGAUACAGAGAAGUUUAGCAUGAACGCUGCGCAAGGAUGACAUGCAAAUUUGUGAAGCUUUCCACAUUUUU